rnacentral:misc_RNA from 1 species
AAGCUUCCCAUACCUACACAAAAGCCCCAGUCUAUCACCUUGCCGCCCUCUUGUACUCCAUGCAUCACCCACCCACACACACACACACAGCGUAUUCCUUCUCUUCUCCUGACUGCCUUUAGCUGCACGCCGGCUCUACUGUUGGCAUACCCCCGCCACCAUAAUCGUUGCUACCUUCCCGGAAGAGGCGCGCCGUCACCACCUCCUGAAAGGCUUUCUCUUCCACCCUCGUUGCCCCUCGGCUCGGCUAGCGUGCGACAGCCCACGCACACGCAUUACCUCGACUGCAUAUACGCACGCCCAAGAAGAGGCAAGGGAAGAGCACACGUUGAGUGACGGCGCGGUUAGUGAACGGUAGAUUAGAAUUAUUGGCCUCCGCACACCUGUUCCCUUCAUACACACACGUACACGCGCGCAUCCCUCCCACGACUGCUCGAACGACUUCUACGAGUACAACACUCCUUUGCUUGCUCCUGCUCUUGCUCUCCCUCUCACCUUUAGUGUGCGUGUGUGUGGUUGACUCGUCAGGCCCUCACGCUUCGUAUCACCGAAUUCGCCCCUUGCCCCCCCUCCCGCCGCAGCCUCCACCACCGCGUCUCUCGCUCUCUCCGUCUUGCUGUGAGUGUGCUCACUGAACCGUCGCUUGGUGUUAACAUAUAUGCCUUUCCUUUCGUGUCGGCACCCUUAGCUGUUGUGCGCGUUGACCUUCGCCACUCAACGUGUCGCUCUGCCGACGGUGUCGAUUUGGUACGUCGCUGAUUUCUCUGUACUUCCCCCCUCCCCUUUUUCUUUUUUGGGGAAAGCUUCGAGUCUGCAUGCGUGUGUCCUCCUGUAGUUGUAUCUUUUCGGCGUCGCUCCUGUGCCUUACCCCUCUCCCCACUCUCCACCCCUCCCGACUUUAUAGAUGCGACCGUGAGUAGGCCUCCCUCCCCUUCCCCGAUCGUUUCUUGGUGCCUUUGUUUGCCCUUUCUUGUCGCUUCACAUCCCUGUAUCCUGCCCUCUCUCUUCCAUCCUCCCUCGGGUAUUGGUGUUGUCGUCGUGUGUGUGUGUGUGUGUGUGUGUGUCGCCGUCUCGGUAGUUUUGUUCCGCUCUAGCUGUCUCCUGUGUAACGACUGCCUUGCCGUUCUCCCGCUAGCGUCCGUCCCUUAUUCCUCUCCCGCCCUCUCUCUCUCUCGUCGACCUGUGCCCCCGCACCCUUCUUGUAGCACACGCCAGCGUAUUCGCAUAAGCCUGUCGGUCUGCGUGCGUGUGUGUGUGUGUGUGUACGUGCGUAUAAUAACAGGUGCGGAAUCGGUGCUUGUCUCGUCGGUUCUUCAUUCCGUUCUUUUUUUUUCUGCUGCUGCUGCUGUUGUUGUUGUCGACGUCGCCGCCAUCGCGUUGCAACUGUGCGUGUGCGUGUGUGUGUGUGUGUGUGUGUGUGUGCGUGUCUGUAUGUGCGUCGCUGUCCGUUUCUUGUCUUGCGUGUCGCAUGCUGCUCGGUGCUGCCCAACUCCUUCGCAAAACACCUUUCCUUUCACCCCAUCACCAAUCUGCGCUUGUGUACGUUCUGCUCUUGUCUGCCUGUGCACGCGUGCGUCUUGGGGGGCUCGUUGCUGCCGCGGUUAACCCUCCUCGUCCCCUUCCCACUGCCCUAAGCGCUGAUCUCUUUUCUUUUCUGGUUUUGUGGUGGUUCGCCCUCCUUCUCUCUUUUCACGGUGCGCCGUUGUCGUUGCCGUUAGGAUCUCCUCUUCCUCUUCGCCCCCAACUUUCACUGUGUGCGUGUCUGCGUGUGUAAUCCUUGGUUUUCAGUCGUUGCUGUGAGAUAAGAAAGGCGCUGCCACACAGCCGCCUCACUCGCUUCCUCUUGUUGCCUCUCUGUGCGGUGCACAGGCGUGCGUGCGUGUGCGUUGCGUCCCUCUCCCCUCUCACGUCUUCCUGUGUCAUCCUCAAACCUCUGUGUUCCCUUCCGGCGCCGCUGCGAAUUUAUGGCGUUUUUCCACUGUGGGCCGCUCUCCCUCGCCCCCCCCGAUUUCCCCCAACCCACGCCUUUGAUCUGUGAUUGAUCGGCUGCUGUUUCGUGUGUGUGUGUGUGCCGACACCCUUGCACGGCGGCGUACCAGUGGAGCAACGGUAGGAUUUGGCACAUCUCCCACGCUCUCUGCUCUGCUCUUCGUGGAGCGGAUACCACCCACCCACCCCCUCAUUGUAUAACCUCACGCACCCCGUCAUUAGUGUUGCCUUUAUUUUUCCUUUUCGUUGCAACUGUCACCACCCGCCUUCCUCCACCGCCUUGCGCGUGCGCGCUGAGGGGAGACGGUUAUGCCCAAGUCUCUGUCGCGUUCAACCUUCAACGCCGUUUUCGAGCACUUGUCUGCCGAGGAGCCGCGCUCUAGUCGCCAGGGCAGCGCCAACGUCAGCUUUAACCACCCCCCGCAACAGCAGUCGCCUCUGCGACCCAUGUCCGGGCAGGCGAUAGACACCGCCGUCGAGGUCGUCGCACUGUGCGACCGCGCCGAGGGCAAGCCCACCACCUCUCAGGCGGAAGAGCCGCUGAUGCCGCUGCUGCGUGACAUGAACGACGAUUCGACAGAUGCGCUGAAGCUGUGCAACAGCAGCGAUGAGCUGGACGGCUACUGCAGCUCCUGUGAAGGAUCCCUGCCGGACGACAGCGCCAGCAGCAGUAGUGAGCACGCCUCUAGAGCAACGCUGCCGACAAGCGUUGCGGCAGCUCUGCGCAAGGACGCUCGUCGCAAGCCCCACAGCCGCCACCACCGCCACCGCUAUCGCGGUCGUGGAUCGCUGAUACGCAGCGCUGCCCGCGAUGAGGAGCGGCAACGGCUGGUGGCCAUGAGCUUCGAUGAGUCAACAGCAACGGCAAAGGCGGCGGACUCUGACACGACGACCAUGGCAUCGCCUGUCGUCUUAACGCCGGCGGUGGCUGCGACGGGGGGCGCAGCGCGCGAAGGCGCUUUCAAGGGGAUUCGCACACCCUAUCCAAAGCCGAUCACCGCGACCACAAGCACAAAGACGUCGCUGGCGAUGAUCUCAGCGGCGCUGAACGUCGAGAGCCGCACCGCCGAGGCUGCCAAGAGAAGCAACAGCGAUAGCCCCUGCUCCAAGCCAGGGAAUGCGGUGAGCAACACGCGUGAUGCGGUGCUGCCGCAGGUGCAGGUGCCGGUCUUGGCGCGUGACGGAGGAGGAGGCGAGUCGGCAGGGGCGCUGUGUUUGCUGGGCAAACGCGAUAGCCGAGACGCUGCCGAGGUGUCGAUAGAUAGCGCUGGAGGGGACCAGUGCAUUCUGGAGACGUCGCCCACCGCGAUGUCGCGUCCACCCACUCUUUCUCCAGCUGGUACGCUAAGCCUGGCGGGCACUGCGGUCAUCACCAGUAAAGGUAGCAACAACGGAAGUCAUAGCAGCGCCAUUGGCGCCGGAGACGCGUUGCAAGUGACAUCAUGCGGUGCGGCCACUCCUCCACCCGUUGAUGAGGCAGCAUGUGUCGCACCUGUUGCGGUGGGUCUGAAGCGCAGCACGGUGAACGUCCACGACGGGUUUGUCACGCGCACCGCCGCCUCCGUUUCCUCCUCCUGCCCGCUGCAGGAAGCCGCCCAAGGCCCCUCUGCAGAACCUAGGCCCGAUAGGACGCUUUCCGUUCCACUGGCAGGUGAGGCCGCGGCAGAGACCACAGGUGUUGCCGUACAGGCAACACCUGUUGCCGGCGUCGCCACAUUGACGUCAACGAACGCGACAAUCCCGCUAGGCAAUGCAGCGGCAGAGACCUCUGUGAAGCACCUGCAGACCCCCUCCGGCUCUCCGACGCUUGUCGACCUCUCUAGCUCCUCAUCGGUCGGCGGCCACCACCUCUCCGUAACGGAGGGGAACGCCUUCCUGAAGCAGUCCGGCUCACGCCGCGAGGAGGCCUUCUACAACAUGAUACAGCCCUACCAAGAGGCGCUCGUGCGGGAGGCGGUGCGACAGGCGCCGCACACGGUUCAGCAUUGGAGCCACCAGCACUCAGGCACACCGUGCGCAGGAGUUCAACAAGGCGCGGCCUCUGCCGCCGCCGCUUCCCUCUCCUCUAAAGCGAGGCACCUCUCGCCACUGCACACCAGCGCCACCCAGCGGCGGAGAGAUGACGACAGCGACAGCGUCGUGGCCGACCCGGACGAUGUGGCUGCCAUGUGCGAGGCAAGGUGGGAAGCCUACCAGCAGUACGAGGCGGAGGGCAUGUCCAACCUGAACAUUCUCGCCUCGGAACAGCUGGCGGAAAAGAAUACGGGGCGCGAGCGCCAGCGCUGUGGCGGAGGCAGUGGCUGCGCUGGGCCGCUAUACAACAACCCGCCAUCGCCAACGUCGCCGCGCCAGGUGGACAAAGAUCUCGUCGAGUUGGCUGCCCGGCUGUGGUGGACGGUGCGCUUCCGUCACUUCUACCGCACUUCAGCGCCUGCCUACGAGGUGCAGCGGCAGGCGGCGGAGGCGGCAGGUCUGUCGCCGCUGUCGCCGUUGGCCUGGUCACCCGCGGCCACCACCUGUGGCAGCGGUGGUGCAGCCGUCACCUAUUCUUUAGGCACCACGCCAGCGUCGCAGCAGCCUCACCAUGCGCCACACGACUCCCUUGAAGCCGUGCCACCGAGACUCCCAUCGUCGCCGAUGAGCGCAUCCAUGAUAGAACAGGAAAAGGCUGAGCACAGGGGUGAAGCAGCGGCGGCGCCGGCCCCCAACAUGAGCGGCACCGCCACGCCGUGCAUGGUCGGCUCCUUUGCUGCCUCGCUGCUGGAAGGGCUCACCAGCAGCUCCAGCGCCGCGGAGCGGCAAUACGCCGCGCAGAAGCACCGCGCGCUGCAGCUGCUCGCCGCCUUCGUGCCACGCUACCACGGCACACGCCGCCUCUUCGCGCGUGACGUGCUCCGCUGCGAGAGUAAGGGGCAGCCCGCAGCGGCGUCGACAGCGCAGGCGAGCGAGGAGCAGCCGCAGCAGCCGGGAAAGCAGCAGAUCGUGGUGGAUGCAGACAACGACGAUGACGAAGACAACAACAGCGGCGACAAGAAGAUCUGCCGCAUGAUCAUGCUCGAGUACGUGUGCUACCGCUUCCGUCGUCCGUGCGUCAUGGACAUCAAGAUGGGCAGCCGCCAGUACGGCCUGCACCCCUCCGCGGAGAAGAAACGGAGCAAGGAGCGCAAGGCGAGGCUGUCUACGUCGGCACGGUACGGCAUCCGCCUCGCCGGGUACCGCCGGUGGAACGCGGAUGAGGGGCGGUACAACUGCCGCAGCAAACUGCAGUGCCGCUGCCUUAGCCUCAACGAGGUGAAGAGCGAGAUGUCGACCUUUCUGCUCCACAGCCGCGAGAUGGAGCAGGUGUUCCGCCGGCAGCUGCAGCGGCUGCGCGUCGCCUUCAGUCAGCAGACCAUUUUCCGCUUCUACACUUCCUCGUUGCUCUUUGUGUACGAUGCCGAUGAUCCGCUGAAGACGGCGCGGGUGACGAUGGUGGACUUUGCGUACACGUACGAGUCGAAGGAGCUGCUGCAGGACGGCGAUCCUGAUGCCGACUUCGACUAUGACGUCGGGUACUUGAAGGCGCUUGACACCCUACUCUCCCUGCUGGCGUAGUCGACCGCACGCACGCACUCGCGGUGGCACACGCUUCGUGUUUCAGGCGCGUGAUUCGAUCGUCUCUUUCCAAACGUGAAUAUACAAGCCUGCGGCACUGCAGUGGCAGCUUCCGCGCGUGCUUUAUCGCCGCGACACGGUACCGCGCACGUGCCGAAACAGAACAGGCAAAGACACGCUCGCUGAUGGGCCAGCGGCUCUCACACACACACUCACACGUUGGUGUGUUGGAAAGGAAUGCGACAGGGAGAAGGGAGGAGAGGAGAGGCAGCGGUGAGGCGCGGGGCUUUCCUCCGUCCUUCCCUGCUUGUGUCUUGUUUUCUGCUUUACUUUUCGUGUGCUUGUCCUCCCUGAUGAGCGGUGGAUACGCCAGCCCCAGUGCGUGGCAUCUCGGGACCCGGUGCCCCCACUCUCUCCCCCUGCGGGGAGGCGGAGCGGCACCCCACCCCCUCUAGUCCUGCCCAAUGCGGAGCCGCUUCCGGUCGUGACAGGGUCAAGCGCCGACGCCGUAGGGGAGGUCAGAGCGAUGCAUCGCCACUGACGCCGGCGGCCAGGUCCUGGACGGCGCUGCGUCGGUGCGACCCGCGGCCGUGAACACGCUUGCGCCAUCCAUGUGAUGGGCAGCGUGUCGGCGUGACUCGAGCGUACCCCACACCCGGCCCCCACACUGCCCUGCUGGUGGUGGGGAGCCGGAGCCACCCCGAGGAGGAUGCAGCACGUGGCGACCGGCACGAUGGUAGCUGCUGUGAGGCCACCCGCGGGGCGGGUGGUGGGUGGGGCUUGAGGCAGGGGCUGUGCUCAGAUGACUGUGUCUGCGCACAGCCGUAGCGACGUGCCUGCCGCUGCUUCAGUUCACGCGCCUGAGGUCUGUGCCAGGGCCCGGGCCAGAGGGAGGGUAGAGUGCUGUGUAGCGCGUGCUCUACGGUCAGAGAAUGGUCACGUUGAACAAGGCAGGAAAGCUUUCUCUGACUCGUUUCGUUUUGUGUGCCAGCUAGUCGGUGAGGAAGGGGGGAUGAAUGGGUGCAUCCCAUGUGCGCAUAAUGCAGUUGCUGUCACACCUCGCUGGUGCUGCUUUCUCUCCAUUAUGUGUGCACUCGUGGCACAAGUAGGGCUGCUCAACUGACGGGGGCGCACGCAUCAAUAUCAACCCAGAUAUGGCCCUUAAACUCACACACCCUCCUCUACCCUCCUCUCCCCUCCCCUCCUCCUCCUCGCCCCCACCUCACCCCUUUGGCACACGCAUCUAGCUGUCUUCCCACGCUCACCGCAUCCCUUCCAUCCUCAUGCCUCUUGGGUUGCCUCGUCGUCUACGUGUGUGCGUGUGUGUGUAUGUGUGUGUGUGUGUGUGGCUCUUCGUGGGUUCAUCUGUCUCCUCCUUUUUUCUUUGGUUAGCUCGCCUCUCCCUGUACGCUUCUCCACACCGCACGUUGUAACGGUUGGUGAAGAGUGUGUCUGUGUAUGUAUGUGCGCAUAUGCGUGUGUGUGCGUGCUUGAUCGAUCGUUGUUGCUUAUCACGCUUUUUUUCCUUCUCCUUGGCGGUGAGACGAUGCAUGACGGUCUCUCCGCCGGUGGGCGUGUGUCGCACAUCAGCCCUUUCCUUUCUGGCCUCCUCUCCACGGGUUUGUAGAGGUGCUCCCUUACGCCUUUGCUCACCCAAUGGUGAGCGCAGAAAUAAAUCGAGCCUCGCCUUCUGGAUGUAUCCCCUCCCCCUCACCCUCCUCCUGCCGUUGAGGGGUGGCAAUCGUUGGGGAGUGUGUGUGUGUGUGUUGCCUACAGUAGGCCGCUCGGACUUCCUCCAGUCAAGUGCACUGCGGCGAGCCGCAGGGAUGAUGACCUGUUGGCCGUCUGUACCCCUCCGCCUCCCCUCUCUUCGCUUGUCACCGCCACU